rnacentral:rRNA from 1 species
AGUCAUAUGCUUGUCUCGCGAUUAAGCCAUGCAUGCCUAUGUAUAUGCUCUUGCACAGCAACACGGGUUCAUUAAAACUAUUGUUUAUCGCUGCCCGUUACAUGGAUAACUGUAGUAAUUCUAGAGCUAAUACAUGCCUUGAAUCCGUGACCCGCAAGGGGAUCGGUGCACUUAUCAGUACAAGACCAACCGGGCGAGUACGGGUGCGCCUGCGAACGUCGUGUUGUGUCUGGAUAAUUUCUACAGAUCGGGGUCUUGUGUCGGCGACAGUUCUUUAACAUGCCCUAUCAACUUACGAUGGUAGUGGCCUACCAUGGUGAUAACGGGUAACGGGGAAUCAGGGGCGUCGGAGAGGGAGCCUGAGAAACGGAGUCACCAAGGAAGGCAGCAGGCGCGCAAAUUACCCACUCGUGAGGGAGGUAGUGACGAAAAAUAACGAUGCGGUGCAAUCCGUAAUCGGAAUGAGUACAGUCUAAAGCCGUGACAUGCAAUUGGAGGGCAAGUCUGGUGCGGUCGCGGUAACUCCAGCUCCAAUAGCGUAUAUUAAAGUUGCUGCAGUUAAAAAGCUCGUAGUUGUGCACGGCAGUGCCGCUGGCCUAGGGCGUGUGCGUUUGGGCCUGUCUGUGCAUAGAUAGGUUCUUGAUUGCUGCGCUCUUGGCUAGUUGGUGGUGCAGUGACCGUGUCUGUGGCUCUCGGGCUACAGGUGCUCGUCGUGAGUCGCUAUCGCUCGCGUGCGGGUACGCACCGUGCCGUGAUUGUGUGUCUUGGUGCGGGCGGCAUGUUAAAUUUGAGUGCUCAAAGCAUGUAUGUGUCUGAAAAGUCUUGCAUGGAAUAAUGGAAUAGGACUUCAGUUCUAUGUUUGGUUUUCGGAUCUGAAGUAAUGGUUAAGAGRGACCCGCUGCAUUUGUAUGGCGGUGUUAGAGGUGAAAUUCUUGGAUCGCCGCCAGACAUGUAGCGAAAGCAUUUGCCAGGAAUGUUUUCAUUGACAAAGAGCGAAAGUCAGAGGUUCGAAGACGAUCAGAUACCGUCCUAGUUCUGACCAUAAACGAUGCCGACUGACGAUCCGUGGGGUAAAAUUCUUUUGUCCCCACGGGCAGUCUCCGGGAAACCUUUAAGUCUUUGGGUUCCGGGGGAAGUAUGGUUGCAAAGCUGAAACUUAAAGGAAUUGACGGAAGGGCACCACCAGGAGUGGAGCCUGCGGCUUAAUUUGACUCAACACGGGAAAACUCACCCGGCCCGGACACUGUGAGGAUUGACAGAUUGACAGCUCUUUCAUGAUUCGGUGGUUGGUGGUGCAUGGCCGUUCUUAGUUGGUGGAGCGAUUUGUCUGGUUAAUUCCGAUAACGAACGAGACUCUAUUCUGCUAAAUAGUACUUCCGUAAUUGGUCGGCUUGCCUAGCAUGGGCUUCCGGCUGCACUCGUUGUGGCCGGGCAGCCUACUGUUGGCUUCCGACUGCGCGGAUGUGACUUCUUAGAGAGACAAGCUGCGCUAGCAGCACGAAAUUGAGCAAUAACAGGUCUGUGAUGCCCUUAGAUGUCCGGGGCCGCACGCGCGCUACAAUGACGGUACCAGCGAGUAUGACCUCCUGGCCCGAGAGGGCUAGGCAAACUGGUCCAUGACCGUCGUGACAGGGAUCGGGGUUUGUAAUUAUCCCCCGUGAACGAGGAAUUCCCAGUAAGUGCAAGUCAUAAGCUUGUGCUGAUUACGUCCCUGCCCUUUGUACACACCGCCCGUCGCUACUACCGAUUGAGUGGUUUGGCAAGGCCUUCGGAUCGGCGCCAUUGUAACCUUCGGGUUCGACAGGUGCUGAAAAGAGGACCAAACUUGAUCCCUUAGAGGAAGUAAAAGUCGUAACAAGGUUUCC